GACCCCGCACAAGCAGUGGAGCAUGUGGUUUAAUUCGAUGCAACGCGAAGAACCUUACCAGGCCUUGACAUCCUCGGAACUUUCUAGAGAUAGAUUGGUGCCUUCGGGAACCGAGUGACAGGUGCUGCAUGGCUGUCGUCAGCUCGUGUCGUGAGAUGUUGGGUUAAGUCCCGUAACGAGCGCAACCCUUGUCCUUAGUUGCCAGCACAUUAUGGUGGGAACUCUAAGGAGACUGCCGAUGACAAAUCGGAGGAAGGUGGGGACGACGUCAAGUCAUCAUGGCCCUUACGUGUAGGGCUACACACGUGCUACAAUGGUCGGUACAGAGGGCUGCUAAGCCGCGAGGUGGAGCCAAUCCCAGAAAACCGAUCGUAGUCCGGAUCGUAGUCUGCAACUCGACUACGUG
rnacentral:rRNA from 1 species